rnacentral:ncRNA from 1 species
UCACGAAAAGGCCAAACCCGCCGCGAGACGGGGACGGAAAGCCACGGGUCUCCAGCAGACAGCCGGGUUGCCGAA